rnacentral:lncRNA from 1 species
AGCGCCGCGGGUGGGGAUGCGGGAGGCUGAGCGCACCGGCCAGCUAGCCCCUUUGUGCGGCGGGGGCUGCGGAGUGCUCCCUCCAAGACCGGUUGCACCCCGCUUUCCUGGCCAGGACUCUGGGCGCGGCAGCUACAAAGACGACGCCGGCUGCGCUCGCGGGACCAGAGGGAGGGAGGCUGCGGACGAGUGCGGGGAGGAGUUUGAGAUGGGAGGCGCUUGCAGGGGCUCCCCCAGUUCUGCGCUGUGAGCCGGGGCACAAAGAGCCCUCUGCACUAGCGCCGCAGGACCGCGGACCCGAGGUCCUUUCUCUGGCUGUGAUCCAUGCUUCUUCCCAGGGCAGGAUUACACUCUUUGAAUUUACUUAUUCAUCAAGACAGUGCAGAGUGGUGGAAAGAGAAGCAGCUGAGAGUUACGCAGUUGGAGGCAUCUGUCCACCCAUGUGGUUCCAGACACGUUCAUGUGGCCACCAUGACCCCGUCGGCAUCACAGGGGUAACCAAGAGAGCAGCAAGUUCCUGGGACAGAGGAGACAGAAGGGAAUUUCCAGGUUCUUCAGGACGUUCACAACCACACUGAGAAGCAUCUUUGCAGAUAAGUAUUUAAACUUACCAGCCCAUAGCCUACCAGCCUGCCCUCUUCUGGUCUGUGCAGGAAAGUGUAGUAUCCUAGAAUGCCAAAGUGGGAGGGGAAAUGGGUGAUGUAGCUCAUUCUCUUUUCUACCUCUAUGGAAGAAAGAAAGAGCCUGUCCCCAUUUUGUGGGGUCCCAGAAAGGGUGAUUUUCACACUUCACAUUUGGCGUUAGGGCUAGUAUUUCACAAACAUUACCGUCUGGAACUUUUGAAGGCUGAGUUAAAUGACUUCAUCUUGUGUACUUGUAGAACUGCUAUUAGAAGGAGGCUGGGGACUCCCUGAUGAUGUGAACCAGCCCUUCUCUUCUCAGUUUCAGCACUUUGUGAUCAUAUUUAUAAACCUUGGACAGGGCUCCUUGGCCUUAGAGUUAAGUGAAGAGUUAACACUGUGACUUUAGAUGCAUUUUUCUCAGUGUAAGUGUCUGAGCUCAUCUCCAGUUCUGGACUCGUGCCCCCACUCCCGGGUGCUGACAGCAAGCUCUGAAGAUAUGCUGAGAGAGCUCCCUGACUCUCCUGACUCAGGUCUGCCAGUUGAUGAAGACAGCACAGUUGUUACCAAAAACAAAACCUGGCAGAUGGUCCUAGGUCAGGAUUAGUGGUCAUUCUCUGGUCUUCUCCAGACUGGUGACACAGGGUGGUCUUAAAAGAGUCCUAGUCCAGCCUCUGGCUCCCCGAAUUUCCUCUGGUGCAUGGGGCAUCAGGAAAGGGCAGGGGAGAAGGAGGGGGAGCAGAAAAAUAACUGAGGCUGGGCAGAAGGGUCCCUUCCAUUUCCCAUCCAUUGCUUCAAACAAUGGGUGAUUACCGUGCACCUUGAGUGAAUGUCAAGGCAGGAAGGGUUCCAGGGCCACCCAGUGUGGCAGGAGCAGAGCUGGGAUCAGAAUUCUGGAUUCCUGACUCUCCGUUCAGCUGCUAUUCAGCUAUCACCAAGCUGCUGAGUUUGUCCUACUUUCUCCUGGGUCACAUUCUGCUGUUGUUGGGAAACAGGGAGUGAGUGAAGGGAACCUGGGAACCCUUCUCCCCUCACCUUUUAAGGAUGUUCUGGGGUGGAAUAAAGAGAGGUGGAGGGUGGGGUGCCUGGGCCCAGCCUCCCUGGCUCCUGGUCCUUCUUUCUUCAGCAGGGAGUUCUGGCAAGGCCUGGGCCUGGGGAGGGGGCCUGGGUGCAGUUUUCUCCUGCGGUGUGGUUGGCUCUUUUGUCUUCCAGGAUGGGCCUGUGGGGUCUGUGUGGGGAAGGAAGGAGCUGGGAGCCUGGGCUGCCUGUGUGUCGGCUGGAUGCUGCCAGGUGGCUCCAUCUGGGCCGCAUCUCCAGGACUCCUGGCCUGGACUUCUCUUUGGACCUCGGGUGACCUUGGAUUCUGGCCACAGUGACUUAGCGGUCAGACUCCGGUGGUUUUCUAGCCCGCUGGGUGACUCCCUGAAGAUCUCAUCCUCUUCACACCUGUUGGGAUGGAGCCUCCCAUGGAUAGGAACUCUUCCUGGUUGAUGCUCAGCAGAUGACUGAUCUGGCUCUGGAGGACAGCUCCAGGGGUAUGAGGGAGGCCUGGCAGCCCACUACUCCCUCCUCACCUGCUCGGGCCCUGCCUGCUGGGCCCUAUUGUCUGGGUCUGGGGGCCCUUUCCUGCCCCAUGUGAACUUGAUUCCUCCUCGCGUUUCUGCCGGUGACCAGACAGAGCCUGGCCUGGGCCAAGUCCCCACUGACCACACUUUCCCCAAGGCUGGGUCUCAAAGGACCCUACAGGAUGGGGACAGGAACAAGGAUGGGAGUCGGGGAGGGGCUGUCAGGCAGAGGGCAGAUGCAGCUCCUCGGGUGCCGCUGGCUGGAGUCCUUUGUCUCCAUUUGCUCAGUGCGUAAUUGUCAUUUUGUGGGGGACUUCCUUGGUGGGGCUUUUCCAUGCUUUUCCUCUCCCUGAUGGUUACAAAGAGGAGACAGUCAGGAUCUGGGAGGAGCUGGAGCCUUCCCCCUGUGCUGUUGAACUCUGGGAGGGGCAGCCAGAGGGGCUGAGAGUGCACCAUCCUGAAAAGAGAGGGUCUUUAAGAGAUAAGAUUUAGGCUAGGGAAAUUCACUAGAAAGAGACAGGUGGCCCUGGGUUUUUUUUCCUGCCAUCCAAAGGGAACCAGUCUUACCCAAAGGCUUAAGGGGUCACCUUAGCCCAGUCUCAGGACACUCUUCUCCAAUCAGAUCGCUGCUUCUAGUUGCACUGCUCCUGGAUUCUGUUCUUGGGGAACAGAAGGUGGCAGGACAGGCCCCACAAUCUGCAAUUCCAGCUCCCUCCAGAGGAGACAGUCCCAGCGUUUGCAAGAGAGCAGCUUGUGGCCUCCCUUAGGCAAGUUUAAAAGCCAGAUGUCCUUUUUCCCAGAAUGCGGAGUGGUGUGUACUAUUCAUCAGCUUGGGCUGCCACAGCACCAUGCCAGACUGGAUGGCUUAAACAUCAGGAAUUUAUUUUCUGCCAGUUCUGGAGGCUGGAAAGUCCAGAUCAAGGUGUUAAGACUUGGUUUCUGGUGAGGCCUCUCUCCUUGGCUUGCAGGUGGCACCUUCUCACUAUGUCCUCACAUGGCCUUUUCUCUGUGGAGAGGGACAGAGAGCAUGAGCAGGCUCUGGUGUCUCCUCCUCUUCUUAUAAAGACACUAAUAUCACCAUAUUAGGGCUUAAACCUAUGACCUCAUUUAACCUUAACCCCUUAAAGGUCCCAUCUCCAAAAACAGUCACAUAGCAGGCUACUGCUUCAACAUAUGCAUUUGGGGGAGGGGACACCAUUCAGUUCUUAACAGGGUGGUCACCGCAAACAUGGAAAGUCAGAGCCUUCUCCCCUUCAGAAUUCCCGCCCCCACCCAGGGAUGGGGAGGAGGAGCAGAGAGGUAUGGGAAGCAGACACGGAGAGUGGCAGGUACCAUGCUGGGGUGGCUCAGGAGUGCUUCGGAGGACAUAUGGAACUGGCAGGGCUCAGUGCAGGGAGGCGGAGGCCCUGGGAGAGCCGUGUCCUGAGAAGGGCCUGGGCUACAACCCUGGGCAAGUUACUUCACCUCUGAGCCUCCGAUGCUCUGUGAAAUGGAAGGAAUGUGCUUGCCUGUCAGGUGCAGGGAGAAUUCAGUGAGAUUGUGUGCCUAGCACAGUGCCUGACUCCCAGUAGGUGCUCAGCAAAUGCUCCCAUCCAUCUGGGAGUAUAGACUUAGGGUUUAUCUAUUUUUUUUUUUUUUUGGCUCUCUGGACUUUAAAACUCAGCAUCUUCUGAACCAGAGGCAUUUCUGAUUAGCCCUUCCCUACCUAUUUUCCUAGUAUCACUCUUUAAUCAGCUUGGGGAGGUGGCAGCAUUUCAUGGCCUCCGUAGUAACUCACAAUGCUUCCUGGGGUAUUUAAAUUCUACUCUCUCAUCAGCACUGAGCACCUACUUUGGGCCCUUUCCCGUGCUAGCCAUUUGGGGGAAAUAUAGGUGAAGAGUGGCUGGGGUUUGAACCUUUAGGAUUUCACAGCCAUGCUGGAUGGGAUAAAACCAGCUCACAUGGAGAAUCAGAGAAUGGGACAGUGCCACAAAACAGUCUACUGAGGCACAAGUUCUGAGUGCCUGGGAAGUGGUAGAGAGACCCCAGAGAGGGCUGCUGCAGUCUGGAACAGCUUCCUAGCAAGCUGUACCAAACAGGGCCUUGAAGGAUGAGAAAGAUCUGGCUGAGAUGAUACCCGACCCUCUAGGGAAAUUCUUAAAGUAACUUCUAGGAAAUGUCAUUGCUCCUUAAAAAAAAAAAAAAAAAAAAAAAAGCAGGUUCUAAUUCAAAUUCCGCUGCACUACUGAAGUAGUGCAGGACUUAUCAGAACCUUUAAAAUGCUAAUGGCAAUUUCAAAUACUCAGGGACAGGGCAUAGGAUGAAGUGUUCCUUGACUUUUAUGGCCGUAGAAUCUUUUUCUCAUGGAACAUCGUUUAGAACUGUGGGAGAUGCUAGGCUGGGGUUUCUAUGGGAAAAGUACAGCAGUGAUAGAAGAUGGCAUAAUUAGGGUACACUUAGGUGCUUUGUAGCAUUGGCUGAAAAGGAAGCAGACCGGGUGGGCGUGGGGGAGUCUCAACUUGGUUCCAGGAGCCAGGCCAGCUUGAUGCGUUUUUUUUUUUUCUAAUGGUGGGAGGGCAGGCCAAUAGUUGGAGAAACUAGAGGCCUGACAGUCGGUGAUGGAAGAGAUGUCUACUAAGCACGGUUGUCAGAUCUUUUGCGGAGAGAUGCGGGUGUGCGUGUGUCUGUCAGAGUGUAACAGGAUCCAGCCCUCUGGGAAGGGGCUGACCAGAACCAGGCAGGGGGUUUCUGUCUAGGACAAGUAGGGUCCAUUUUCAGGGGAGCUGAAAUAUUUGCAGGGGGUGCUCUGAGACCCACAGCCAAUAAAUAGGGAAGCAACAUGCUUUUGGGCAGGGUCCAUGUGGUUAGGGUUGAUUUUGAUGGGGCUGGGGGGCUUAGAGUUAGACCCCCUGCCCUGGUCAGGCCCCACUCCCUGGCUGGUGGGGGCGGGAGGCCUCUGAAGCUGCAGCUGGAGGGGCCGGGGCAGUGUUGCAUGGUGUGAUUAACCUACUAACCCAGGGCUCAGCCGGGACGCUGUGGCGUGUGACGAGGUGCCUGGCCUUCUGCCAACCAACUAACCCACUAACCAGGCCCGAGCAUGCCCUACUAACCACCCCCCCGCAGCCAGAUCCUACUAACUGUGCAGCUCAUGGGCCUUUCAAGGGGCUGGGAUAUGGGGGCAGCCAAGGCUCCAGAAGGCUCUGCCUAUGGGCUGGGAUCUUUGUGCAGACCCACGUUCCAGGACAGAGAAUGCAAAUAAGACUCACCAACUCUGCCACUUCCUGUUGAGUGAGUUUGAGUAAGUCACCUCACUUCUCUCAACCUCAGUUUCCUCAGUGGUAGAAUGCGAGUUCUGAUACCUUACAGGUUGCAGUGAGGAUUCCCGUCAAUAUAAGGGUCUCAGCACAUGGCAGACACCUAAAAAAAAAAAAAGUAUGAGGAUGGAGGAAGGCCCCUCAAACCUGGUUGAACACGUCUGCUGCCUAGGCCCUGGCCUCUCUGGGUGUUCUGCACACAGAUCCUUCUGCCUGGGGCAAGACACUUGGCUUUGAAUCCAUGUCACUUCCCCACAUUCUUCCUCCGUCUCAGCUUUCUUUUCUGUAGGCAGCUCUUUUGUUCGAUUACUAACCCGUCUAACCCCUGGGGUGCCUCAACUGCACCCCGAUCAUCCCUUAACAAACUAACGGACCUGCGUGCGUUCUUCCUUUUCUCUUAGCGACUCCUGUGUGUGUCUGCUGAGGUGCCCUGUCCGCUGGUGCUGUGCUCUGACUUACUAACCCAGCCCCUACUAACCCUGUUUUCUCUUCUUACUAACCCCAGCCCUGCCGAGCUCUGGGCUCCCCCCGGGGGCUGGUCCCCCUCCUUUUGGCAAGCAGAUGACCUGGGGCUACUGGCCCUGUAGACAGAUGUCCCACUUUGCUGCCCCAUAUUGGCUGUAAGAUCAGAGUCCACUGGGCCAGGUCUAAGGCAGGGGAUGGCCCUAUUAACAAGACUCAGAGGAGGAAGAGGUGGUCCUGUGGAUGUGGGAGGCUGGACUCUGAGUAUGACAUCUCUCCUAUGUGCAGAAGUCUGGUUGCCACUGGGAGUAGGUGGGACCAGGGAAAUCUCUGGGACGUGAGUGUGGAGGCCUGUUGGUCUAGACUCUAGACUGUGGAGCUCUGAGCUUUUGUGUCCUCUGGAAGGAAGCUGGGGAAGAAUCCUCUCCAUUGUUAAGUGACGGGGAUAGAAGCUGUCCUGCACAGGAAGUCACGAGGGGGGCGUAUCCCACGAGGAAGGCAGGAGGGGGCGUGCCCCUCACCGGAAAUUAGCAGAGGGGCGUGUCCCACACCGGAAGUCAGAAAGCGGAGCCUUUCUUACACCGGAAGUCAAUGAAGCGGGUCUUUCCUACGCUAAAAACCACUGAGUGGAGUAUUUAGUACACAGGAAGUCGGCCAGAGAAACAUUUCUCAUAUUUGAAGGCCGGAAAGAGGGACAUUUCUGACACCGGAAGUCAGUGAGAGGACUCUUUCCCACACAGGAAGUCAGCUAGAGAGCCGUCUCCCCUCUCUGGAGCCGAGAGAGGCCGGUUUCCCCCACCGUAGCCCACCUGGGAGGAAUUUUCCAGAGAUCACUGUCUGAUGACCCUGUCUUGGAAUUGGAGCCAUGCAAGUUACACUGACCACGUUUGGGUUGGGAUAUUGAGGAGGUUAUGGUUAAAAGCAUACGAUGGGAGAUCAUAUUGUACUUGCGAGUGAGACCCGGCUGGAGGAAUGUUUUAAUUCUUCGGAAAUACCAAGUGGUCUCUACAGAACACUGAAGAUUCUGCUCUCAGGGUGUUGAUUGACGUCUGGAAGGCAGAGACUCGUGGAUUAGCAAGCAUGUGUAAGAAAGUGCUCUGGAUGCCACAGGGUGGUAAUUUGUGCAUGGAAAAUGGCUGGGGUGAAGAGGAGACUAGGGUCUCACAUGAGUACUUCACAAUGGGGAAACUGAACUGGAACUCUACUGACAACGCAGUUGGGAGUUCAAACUUAAUAACCUUCCAGAGUUGGUAUCAAAUUCAGACGCUGACGCUCCUUGGAGAGGUUCUUUGCUGCAAGAGGAUGGAAAGGAUCACUGUGAUUUUGUUUUUCUCCUGCUGCUCUGUCUGGAAGCCAUGUGAGGAGGACAUCUGAGCAGCCCUGUGGAGAGGCCCCCAGCCAACAGCCAGCAUGAACUUGCUGGGCAUGUGAGUGCACCACCUUGAAAGUAGAGCCUCAACCCCUGGUCAAGCCAUCAGGGAGAGCUCAAGCUGGCCUGUUGGAAGAUGACAGGCCAUAUGCAACAGACGUGAAGUGUCCCAGCUGAUCCCCUUCCAGAACACCCACCUUCCAGAUGACCACAGAUGCAAGGGUGAGCCAGCCAAUAGCUGCUGAGACAUUCCCAGAAAGACAGAACAUCCAGCUGACCCAUGGACUCAUGGGCGAUCAUGGAUAAAUGGAUAUUGUUUCAAGCUACUAGGUUUGGGGUUGGUUUGUUACGCAGCAAUAGCUAACAGCUACACCUCUAUUUUAAGGAGUUGUGAAGAUAAAUUGCAAAGGUACAGAAAAAUGAAUAGCUAUAACAGCUACUAGUGAUUGAGUGCUGGCUCUGCCUGGUACUGUGCUCAGGAUUGGCAUGCAUUAUCUCAAAGAGUUGCACAGGCUAGAAGGGCUGCAGCUGAAGAUUCUAGAAGAGUUCAGGUAUAAUGCCUGGCACAUGGUACCUGUUUCAUGUAUGCUAGUUGUUGGAUGCUGCUGAUGCUGGCAGCACGUGGAACUCCUGACACAUGCCUCUGAUUUGGUAGUGGGGUCUGAACUUUGUAAUCUGUGUGUCCAGAGACCUUGGGAAGUCUUCAGCCAAGGGCAGACCAGGAGGUAGCUUUUGUGAUCUGAGUGCAGAGAAGUUUCUUAGAGUGAAUGGCAUCCAGAUAGGGUGGGGAAAAAGCAUUAGCCAGGGUGCUCCACACACUCCCCUCACUAGUGUGGUCCCUGGACCAGCAGCCUCAGCCUCCCCUGGGCCCUUAUUAGAAAUGCAGAAUCUCAGGUCCUACCCCUGCUUACUGAAUCAGUAAGAGCAUUUUAACAAGAUCCCCAGGGGAUUUGUGUGCAUGUUAGAGUUUGUCCAGAACACUCUUCUCAAGCUAUCUGUGCUGAGACACCAGUAUUUUUUUCAAAUUCCAAUUUAUUGCAGAAUGACAGUUUUAAAAAAUGCAGUAAAAAAGCAAAUUCCUAG